GAAACCCUAGCUAUUCCUGACUUCGUUCUAACCUUCUCACUGUUCUCAGGCCUCACGUUCUUUCCAUUUUCACUCAAAUCUCUCGUUUAUGUCACCCUCGCGUGGUUGGGUGAUAUGGCAAAGGUUCAAGGGCAUGAGUGGAGUCGGAAAAGCAAGCUCUAGCCAAUUUCGAUUGAGAAAAUGAAGUUCUUACUCCAAAUCAAGAAGAUAGCAUUCAUGGAUGUUUCACCGAUUUGACUAUUUGGGUGCUGGAUUGAGAGAAAGGAAAUGAAUGGAGAUAUGAGAGAAAGCUAGGGUUUUUUUAGAUUCGUAGGUUGGGAGAGGCAAGAGGCAGCAAAGGCAGGUGCCUUCGGUUGAAGAGGUAAGCAAGGAGGAAAGGUCGAAGAACCAGAGGAACAGAGGAAAGAAAAGAAGGGAGAAGAAAAAACCCAGAAGAGAGAGUUAUCGGAAUGGAGACAAAGGAAGUAGAAAAACCCAUAAAAAGGAAGUACAGAGGGAUGACACGGAAGCAUAUGAUUAUAAAAAACAGAAGCAAGGGGGUUAAGUUGCCGGUUAAGUACAAUCUUGAUGCCAUUUUCAUAGGAGAAUCAGCAGUUCAUCUAACAAGCUACUUAGGCGUGUUAGCACACACUAUGGUGCCAAUAAGAUAUAAAACUUAGCAUGUUGUACCUAAACAGUUAAAGGAUAAGUUAUGGGACAACAUUGAGACUGCUUUUUCAUUAAAUCAUAGAAGCAGGAGGAAUUGUAUGUUAACAAUGGGAAAAUGCUUUCGGUCCUUUAGGAACUUGCUAACAGUGAAGUACAUUCUUCCUUUUGAAGACCAACCGGAGCUCCUCAAAAGACCACCAAUUCAAUAUAUUUUUAUUGAGGAUGAAGAUUGGACAAUAUUUGUCAAAGAUAGAUUGUUUGACAACUUUAAGGAAUAUCGAGAAAUUCAAAAAGAAAGAAGAAAGAAACAUUUAUAAUCACCAUCUAAGUAGGAAAGGAUAUGCCGGUCUUGAGGAAGAGAUGAUGGUUGCAAGUGGAUCAAUUGAAACUAUUGAUCGAAGCAUAUUAUGGAAGAAAGCAAGGGAAAAAAAGGACGACACCUUUGAUGAAGUGGCCAUACCAGUAAUUGAGAAAAUAGACAAGCUAUUGACAAUGGUAGAAGUGUUAGUGGAAGUAAUGAUAUACUUGUGGAAGCAUUGGGUACUCUUGAGUAUAGUGGUCGAGUUAGGGCCAAAGGGAAGCACUACACACCUCGCCAAUAUUUCAAUAGUGCUGCAGAUCGUACUGUCAGGGAUUUCGUAGCAGCAUCUAAAGAACAAAGAAUAUUUCAGGCAGAAGUGCUAGCAAAACUGUCUCAAGUAGGAGCUAUUACUCCCCAAUCUGAUGUUAGCAGUUCAAACAUGAAGCAAAAACAACUUCUCCUACCAGAAGCAGUGGAUAAGCCAAUCCGUAAAGUUGAAGAUGUGACCCCACCAGAAGCAAUAGAACCACAGAAGAAGGUUAGAAAAUGUAAGCUGGCCAUAGGCACCAAGGAAAAUAUAGUGGCAGGUGGAACAAUUAUACUUGAAUGUGGUCCCAACUAUUUAGUAGUUGUUGAUGCUCCUUAUGAUUCAAGUGCACCCCUUCCCAUUCCUAUUCCUGGACAAACUACUACUGUUGGGGCUGCAAUUGGUUACCAAGUUUUGUGGCCAACUGAUUUGGUCAUCAUCCGUACUCCCAUCUUAGCAUCUAAGAAAGCAAAUAAACAAAAAGUAAAUGAAGUUGAAGUCAAAUCCAAGGGUGAAAAACCACAAGAUAUGAAAAAUUUUGAGACAUUGGUUGGCCUCAUGCUGAGUACAUCAAGAACACACCCUAUAAACUUCCCAGAUGAUGUUUUUGGUGAGAGUUUCAAGACCUUCAUGAUGAAAGAAGAUAUGGAAAUGAUAAUAUCAUCAAAAGAAGUGUCAUCCAAUUGUAUUUUAUACUACAUCUGGCAUUUGCAUAAAAAGUUGAUUGAUGCAAAGCAGGCCGAACGAUAUGUUUUUGUCAAUCCAGCAUUGGUCUCAAAAGCUGGAAUGGGAGAGGGAAGCAAGGAAAACAGGUCAAGGGUUAUUGCAGAUCGACUAAAGAAUACAAAGCAUGUUGAAUAUAUGUUUAUUCCAUACAACUCAGAUUUCCAUUGGGUGUUAGUGGCAUUGGAGAUGAAGAAAAUGAUUGCAUAUUACCUUAAUCCAAUGGCCUGUCAACCAUGUGAUGAUCUUAAGGACAUAGUUAACAUGGCAAUGAGAAUCAACCCACCAGAAAAACAGAAAACAUCAAAGAGGGAGCCAACUUGGGUGAAAGUGGUUUGCCCAAGGCAACCAGGUAGUGUGGAAUGUGGGUAUUACGUGAUGAGAUAUAUGAAGGAAAUCAUUGCUAAUCCAAACCAACUAACAUCAAAGGUUGUACAAAAAGGCAUAGGUCAUUCCAUUAACAACGUCACUACUGCUCUUGAUGAAGGACACCCACAAACAAUUCAAAAUAUAUUAUCAAAAGUGGAUAGGAACGACGUUGACAUAGAAGAUUGUGGACACCUUCAACUUACACAAAAACCCAUGAUGAAGAGUUGAAGGAUGACUACUCCCAUGAUGAUCCAAUUAUUGAUAUUGCCAAGCUAUUUGGACCCCAACUAUGCUAGGUUAAGAGUUCGAAUGAGGAACAUGUUAUGCAUGACACUAGAUUUACAAAAUCUAGUACAAAGGAAAAGGACAACAAUAUGGGCUUUGAUUUCCAGACUGGAAUUUUUGAGGAUGUUAUAAAUGAUGAAGUGGAGAGGAAUGACAUUCCCAUGAAUGUGACCAUUGGCAUGGAAGCUUCUAGAAACCUUCAGCUUGUAGAAAAACAUGUGACUAAAAAGUUGAAAGAUGAUUACUCUAAUGAUGAUCCAAUUAUUGAUAUUGCCAAGUUGUUUGGUACCCCAACUAUGUCGAGCAAGUUUUCAGUAAAUGUCAUACCUUACCAUCUAUUUUAUACUAUUUUCAAGCGAAGACGUGAGAUUAAAAAAUCUCAUAUCUUGUAGCACUCUUUUAUAGACCCCACUAAGAGGAAGAAAGUAAGAAAAAAGAUUGAGGAACCAUUAACUUUAUUUGAUCCUUUGCCUCCAACCUCUAAAGAAACAUUAGAGUCCUUUCAAAAGUGGAUGAGUGAUGACCAAGGGUGAGUUGUAUACAUCCAUACUUGUAAAUUUGUGUUCUUCACAAGUUAUAAAAUUACUAAUGUUUUUUUCUA